rnacentral:rRNA from 1 species
GGGGAAUCUUCCGCAAUGGGCGAAAGCCUGACGGAGCAAUACCACGUGAAGGACGAAGGUCUGCGGAUCGUAAACUUUCUUUUGAUAGUGAAGAAGUUCUGACAUUAGCUAUCGAAUAAGCAUCGGCUAACUCCGUGCCAGCAGCCGCGGUAAUACGGGGGAUGCAAGCGUUAUCCGGAAUGAUUGGGCGUAAAGCGUCUGUAGGUGGUCCUAUUAGUAUCUCGUUAAAAAGUAGAGCUCAACUCUGCUAUAGCUAGAUAAACGAUAAGACUUGAGUGUGGUAGAGGUAGAGGGAACUCCUAGUGUAGCGGUGAAAUGCAUAGAUAUUAGGAAGAACACCAACGGCGAAAGCACUCUUCUUGGCCAACACUGACACUCAGAGACGAAAGCUUGGGUAGCGAAAGGGAUUAGAUACCCCAGUAGUC